rnacentral:lncRNA from 10 species
CUUUACUGAACAUGUACGUGCCUAGGAAGUCUCAGGAAUGGAUAGAAGAUAAAGUACAUAAUAGUUUCCUGAAGCAGCAGAAUGAAAGAACUCUCUGUGGCAUGAAAAUUUACUGAAAACCAAGUUGAAUGAGUUGGAGACUCCAUAGAGAUGGGCUUCUAGAAUAAAAUGGCACUGACUUAGCUGAAGGACUGAAAAAGGAAGCUGAACUUGCAACAUGUGAGAACAUUUUGUGCAAAGGAGACAACCUGGAGCUCCAGAGGACCUACACUCAGUGAAUGGGCUUGGUCCUACAUCCAAAUAUA